rnacentral:rRNA from 1 species
UGAACGCUGGCGGCGUGCUUAACACAUGCAAGUCGAACGAGAACGGUCCUUCGGGAUGUCAGCUAAGUGGCGGACGGGUGAGUAAUGUAUAGUUAAUCUGCCCUUUAGAGGGGGAUAACAGUUGGAAACGACUGCUAAUACCCCAUACUCCUUUUACAUUAAUUGUAAUUGGGAAACGUUUUUUCGCUAAAGGAUGAGACUAUAUGGUAUCAGGUAGUUGGUGGGGUAAGAGCCCACCAAGCCAAUGACGCCUAGCUGGUCUGAGAGGAUGAUCAGCCACACUGGAACUGAGACACGGUCCAGACUCCUACGGGAGGCAGCAGUGGGGAAUAUUGCACAAUGGAGGAAACUCUGAUGCAGCAACGCCGCGUGGAGGAUGACGCAUUUCGGUGUGUAAACUCCUUUUAUAAGAGAAGAUAAUGACGGUAUCUUAUGAAUAAGCACCGGCUAACUCC